CCUACGGGCGGCAGCAGUGGGGAAUAUUGCACAAUGGGCGAAAGACUGAUGCAGCAACGCAGCGUGAGCGAUGAAGGCCUUCGGGUCGUAAAGCUCUGUCCUCAAGGAAGAUAAUGACGGCACUUGAGGAGGAAGCCACGGCUAACUACGUGCCAGCAGCCGCGGUAAUACGUAGGGGGCUAGCGUUGUCCGGAAUUACUGGGCGUAAAGGGCGCGUAGGUGGGCUCUUAAGUCAGGUGUGAAAACUCCGGGCUCAACCUGGAGACUGCACUGGAAACUGGGUGUCUUGAGGGCAGGAGAGGAAAGUGGAAUUCCUAGUGUAGCGGUGAAAUGCGUAGAUAUUAGGAGGAACAACAGUGGCGAAGGCGACUUUCUGGACUGUACCUGACGCUGAGGCGCGAAAGCGUGGGUAGCGAACGGGAUUAGAUACCCUUGUAGUC
rnacentral:rRNA from 1 species